rnacentral:rRNA from 1 species
CCUACGGGGGGCAGCAGUGAGGAAUAUUGGUCAAUGGACGAGAGUCUGAACCAGCCAAGUAGCGUGAAGGAUGACUGCCCUAUGGGUUGUAAACUUCUUUUAUAUGGGAAUAAAAUGUUCCACGUGUGGGAUUUUGUAUGUACCAUAUGAAUAAGGAUAGGCUAACUACGUGCCAGCAGCCGCGGUAAUACGGAGGAUCCGAGCGUUAUCCGGAUUUAUUGGGGUUAAAGGGAGCGUAGGUGGAUUGUUAAGUCCGUUGUGAAAGUUUGCGGCUCAACCGUAAAAUUGCAGUUGAAACUGGCAGUCUUGAGUACAGUAGAGGUGGGCGGAAUUCGUGGUGUAGCGGUGAAAUGCUUAGAUAUCACGAAGAACUCCGAUUGCGAAGGCAGCUCACUGGACUGCAACUGACACUGAGGCUCGAAAGCGUGGGUAGCAAACAGGAUUAGAUACCCUAGUAGUC